rnacentral:rRNA from 1 species
GACGAACGCUGGCGGCGUGCUUAACACAUGCAAGUCGAACGAAGUGGCGAACGGGUGAGUAACGCGUAAUCAACCUGCCCUUCAGAGGGGGACAACAGUCGGAAACGACUGCUAUUACCGCAUACUGAAGGAGGGGAUUGCGUCUGAUUAGCUAGUUGGAGGGGUAACGGGCCACCAAGGCGAUGAUCAGUAGGCGGUUUGGGAGGAUGAACGGCCACAUUGGGGCUGGGACACGGCCCAGAAUCCUACGGGGGGCAGCAGUGGGGAAUCUUUCGCAAUGGACGAAAGUCUGACGGCGCAACGCACCGUGAGAGAUGAUGGCCUUCGGGUUGUAAAGCUCUGUUAGUCGGGACGCGGUACCGGAAUAGAAAGCCACGGCUAACUACGUGCCAGCAGCCGCGGUAAUUC